rnacentral:rRNA from 1 species
CCGCCGAAUUCGCCCUUUGCCACACAGCCGCGGUAAUACUGUAGGGUGCGAGCGUUAAUCGGAAUUACUUGGGCGUAAAGCGUGCGCAGGCGGGUUAUGUAAGACAGAUGUGAAAUCCCCGGGCUCAACCUGGGAACWUGCAUUAGUGACUGCAUAGCUGGGAGUACGCGCAGAGGGGGAUGURAAUUCCGCGUGUASCAGUGAAAUUUGUAGAUAUGCGSAGGAACACCUAUGGCGAAGGCAAUCCCCUGGGCCUGUAWGACGCUCAUGCACSAAAGCGUGGGGAGCAAACAAGAUUAUGAUACCCUGGUAUGUCC